GUGAACGCUUAGUCGUUCACGAUAUCUUCGCUAGUGCGCUGCUUGCCGUCAUCAGUAACCUUAGCCUGGCUCGCUCGCUACUGGCUGGGUCUAAGGACUGUUAUAUAAUCGCACUAUUUUGUAGUGGAUUUCCGUUUCAUUUGGUCAAGUCAACCAGUGCGACACGGAUAGUGCCUUCGGAACGGUAACUGCCGGUUACUAGCUAAUUCACCAUGGAGGACGGCCAUAGCAAGUCCGUCGAAGAAGUGGUCAGCCACUUCCGAGUGGAUCCAGAACGGGGUCUUUCUCUCGACCAAAUCAAGGAAUACCAGAAGAAGUAUGGACCUAAUGAACUCCCAGCUGAAGAGGGAAAAACAAUCUGGCAAUUAGUUCUGGAACAGUUUGAUGAUCUGUUAGUUAAGAUUCUGCUGCUUGCUGCUAUCAUUUCCUUUGUCCUGGCCCUUUUUGAAGAGCAUGAAGGUGUUGAAGCCUUUGUGGAACCCCUGGUCAUUUUGCUCAUUCUGAUCGCCAACGCUUGCGUCGGUGUGUGGCAGGAACGUAAUGCCGAAUCCGCCAUCGAAGCCCUGAAGGAGUACGAGCCCGAGAUGGGCAAGGUCGUCCGCGGCGACAAGUCCGGCGUCCAGAAGGUGCGCGCCAAGGAGAUCGUGCCCGGUGACGUCGUUGAGGUGUCCGUCGGUGACAAGAUCCCCGCCGAUAUCCGUCUGAUCAAGAUCUACUCCACCACCAUCCGUAUCGAUCAGUCCAUCCUGACUGGUGAGUCCGUGUCCGUGAUCAAGCACACCGACGCCAUCCCGGAUCCCCGCGCCGUCAACCAGGACAAGAAGAACAUCCUGUUCUCCGGUACCAACGUUGCCGCCGGUAAGGCCCGUGGUGUUGUCAUCGGAACCGGUCUGAACACCGCCAUCGGUAAGAUCCGUACCGAGAUGUCGGAAACCGAGGAAAUCAAGACCCCACUGCAGCAGAAGCUCGAUGAGUUCGGUGAGCAGCUGUCCAAGGUUAUCUCCCUGAUCUGUAUUGCCGUCUGGGCCAUCAACAUUGGUCACUUCAACGAUCCAGCUCACGGUGGCUCGUGGAUCAAGGGUGCCGUCUACUAUUUCAAGAUCGCCGUCGCUCUGGCUGUCGCUGCCAUCCCUGAAGGUCUCCCCGCUGUCAUCACCACUUGUUUGGCUUUGGGUACCCGCCGUAUGGCCAAGAAGAACGCCAUUGUCCGCUCCCUGCCAUCCGUCGAAACCCUGGGUUGUACCUCGGUUAUCUGCUCUGAUAAGACUGGUACGCUGACCACCAACCAGAUGUCCGUCUCGCGUAUGUUCGUCUUCGAGAAGGUUGAAGGCAAUGACAGCAGCUUCACUGAAUUUGAAAUCUCCGGAUCGACUUACGAACCCAUUGGUGAUCUGACCCUGAAGGGACAGAGGGUUAAGGCCGCUGACUACGAAGUCCUGCAGGAAUUGGGAACUAUCUGCAUCAUGUGCAAUGACUCCGCUAUUGAUUUCAACGAAGUUAAGAAGGUCUUUGAAAAGGUCGGUGAAGCCACCGAAACUGCCCUGAUCGUUCUGGCUGAGAAGAUCAACCCCUUCAACGUUACCAAGCAGGGUCUGGACCGUCGCUCGGCUGCUAUCUGCGUCCGUCAGGAAAUUGAAACCAAGUGGAAGAAGGAAUUCACCCUGGAAUUCUCUCGCGAUCGUAAAUCCAUGUCCAGCUACUGUACCCCACUCAAGUCCUCCAAGCUUGGAACCGGACCAAAACUGUUCUGCAAGGGUGCCCCAGAAGGUGUCCUGGAUCGUUGUACUCAUGCCCGUGUCGGAACCACCAAGGUGCCACUGACCUCGACUCUGAAGAACCGCAUUUUGGACCUGACCCGUCAAUAUGGUACCGGUCGCGAUACCCUCCGUUGCUUGGCCCUGGCCACCGCUGAUAACCCAAUGAAGCCAGAUGAUAUGGAUCUGAACGAUUCGACCAAGUUCUACACUUAUGAAGUCAACCUAACCUUCGUCGGUGUUGUUGGUAUGUUGGAUCCCCCACGUAAGGAAGUCUUCGACUCGAUUGUUCGUUGCCGUGCCGCUGGUAUUCGCGUUAUUGUCAUCACUGGUGACAACAAGGCUACUGCUGAAGCUAUCUGCCGUCGUAUUGGCGUGUUCACCGAAGAGGAAGACACCACCGGCAAAUCAUACUCUGGACGUGAAUUCGAUGAUCUGCCAGUCAGCGAACAGCGCGAAGCUUGCGCCCGUGCCCGUCUGUUCUCCCGUGUCGAACCCGCCCACAAGUCCAAGAUCGUCGAGUACCUGCAAAGCAUGAACGAAAUCUCCGCUAUGACUGGUGAUGGUGUCAACGACGCCCCCGCCCUGAAGAAGGCCGAAAUCGGUAUUGCCAUGGGUUCCGGUACCGCCGUCGCCAAGUCCGCCUCCGAGAUGGUGUUGGCUGACGAUAACUUCUCCUCCAUUGUCGCCGCCGUCGAGGAAGGCCGUGCCAUCUACAACAACAUGAAGCAGUUCAUCCGUUAUCUGAUUUCCUCCAACAUCGGUGAGGUCGUGUCCAUCUUCUUGACUGCUGCCCUUGGUCUGCCAGAGGCUCUGAUCCCCGUCCAGCUGCUGUGGGUCAACUUGGUUACUGACGGUCUGCCAGCUACCGCCCUCGGCUUCAACCCACCAGAUUUGGACAUCAUGGACAAACCACCACGCAAGGCUGAUGAAGGUCUGAUCUCCGGCUGGCUGUUCUUCCGUUACAUGGCUAUUGGUGGUUACGUCGGUGCCGCUACCGUCGGUGGUGCUGCCUGGUGGUUCAUGUUCUCCGAUCACGGCCCACAGCUGACCUACUGGCAGCUGACUCACCAUCUGUCCUGCAUCGGUGGUGGAGACGAAUUCAAGGGACUGGACUGCAAGAUCUUCGGUGAUCCUCAUCCGAUGACCAUGGCCCUGUCUGUUCUGGUCACCAUUGAGAUGUUGAACGCCAUGAACAGCUUGUCUGAGAACCAGUCUCUGGUCACCAUGCCCCCAUGGUCGAACAUGUGGCUCAUUGGAUCCAUGUGCCUCUCGUUCGCCCUGCACUUCGUCAUCCUGUAUGUCGAUGUCCUUUCCACCGUGUUCCAGGUUACCCCGCUGAACGCAGACGAAUGGCUCACUGUGAUGAAGUUCUCGCUGCCAGUAGUGUUGCUCGAUGAAAUCCUCAAGUUUGUCGCCAGAAGGAUCUCCGACGCCAACCCCGAUUUCCAUUAAGUCACCAAGAAAACAGCUUCAUCAGCUUCCUAUUGUUUCAUCAGUUCGACUGUUCAUCACUGAAUAAAAACAUCCAGAACCAAAUAAAAUCACAGCCAUCCAAGAACCCCGCGCUCAAUCGACAAUGUCUAUGAUGCAUGCUUCAACAAACCGAACACCACCAUCCUAUUACUUCCUGUGCCAAGGCUACCCCCUUUCUGUUGUGUGCGUCCCCCUCUAUUAUGCCCGAUGUUUUAACAACAAGACCCCAAAACGAUUCAUCGGGUGCACUAGAAGGAUCUAGGAACCGGCCAUCGAAGCGCGGGGUCACGUGGCGAUCGCGAGGACUUGACAGCGAUCGUUUUCUGUUUCCAUCGGAACCAAUGCUCAACAACUGAACGCAGGGAAACAGGUCAACGCGUACGCUGUCCUGGAGCAAAGAUCUAACCAACCUCGGGAAAAAAGCCCAACUCUUUCCUUUUAUUUGUGUCCCACAUCAACUUCAUCUAUCACGUUCUGUGUUAUUGUUGUUGUUGUUCCUUCACCUACUACGAAGAAUCAUCUGAUGAACACAGACAACCCUACAUCAACUUUACCGUUUACUUUCAACCCUACAAACUGCUUGCCAUCAUACAGCGACAAUUUAGAAUUAUGUUAGAAAGUUUUAAGAGUGAUAUACUUCUAAGCAGAUGAAGGACAAUCUAAGCAAACAAGCGAAGUUAUUAAGUCCUGGAACUAAGAAGCUCUAGUGGCUUUUAUAACAACUGCUUGUACUCGACAAAAUCGUGUUUCUUUCAGCAAACAAGAAAUCAACGUAAAAAUGCAAUAAUAAAUGAAUAAAAAAAAGUCGAAACAAUAAAACCAACAAAAAACUUAACCUACAGCAUCGUUAUUCAUUGAAUCUAGGAGGGAGGCGUACAUCUGUUUCUCUCACUAGAAAGUAUUAAAGCUGAAUACCAAAUACAAAAAAAAUGUCUGGUUUCCAACAACUAAUCAUGAAAUGAGUUGACUUUCUUUUUCUAAUUUUUACUGAAAGUUAAAUUUGAAUUAUCUCCACCAAAGGGAAAAAAACAGCAAUAUAUUAAAGAGCGUGUUCCAAGCAAAAAUAUUUAAAAUGUUUUGCCGAAGUUUUCUUAACGUCGUAGAUCAGAACCAGACCAUUUGAAGUUAUUAUCCUUGGGGUAGAGUAGAACAACAGCGACUUUUACUUUUUCUAGUGAAAAUGAACAAUUGAAGACAUUUUUUCUCUCAUUUAUUAACGCUUAAGUUUCAUUUCCUCGAACUGUAUCUUCUGUCUUUUUAGUUAUUCUUUUGUUCAGUCCUUUGAAUAUUUGUUACCUUGUAUCGAUUUAGUUAAUUUAUUUUUUUUAUAAAAUACGAGACCAUGUAAAUAAGUUAAUUAAAUAAAAUAAACAAAGGUUGAAAAGAGAGACAUCGUCUUCUUGUUGAGUUGUAGUCGUCGAAAUUACACUUAAAAAGUUAGAUAUUUUACAAAAUGAAUAAACUUAAUUUAACAAAAGUAAAAACAUUGUGUGACGUUGACCGCCAUCUUUAAUUUUAUGUCAUUUCAUCUUUGUUUAAAUAAAAAAGUAUAAAACAAGUUAAAGUUUCUCGAAAAGAAAACAAAUAAAAAUCGUUAAAAAUA